CGGUCACGUGGCAGACACAGGCUGCGGUUAGUGUCCUGACCAAGAACUUGGAACGCCUUCUUCCUCCAUGAGCUGUCAGGCUGCGGGUGGCCUUUGGUUUUCAUGAAGCUGUAUGUGCCCAAUCCCAACCAAUCCCAUCCAUCUCCCCCUAGCCGAGGUUGCUACCAGUGGCCAUAACCACUAUGGUGGCACUUCUGCAAAUUUGGGUCCUCAGUGUGAAACACAGAAGUCCCCCAAGUGCUCCCAACAGCCACUAGUGCCUCAGGAAAAGCAAGAGAGGAUACUCAGAAGAAUGUAUGAAGACCACUGUUAAAAGAUUGUUAGCACCCUGUCCAACAAGCUUUCCUUCACCAACACAAGUUCAUUAGGACUAGAUGACCUUUAGAGGUCCCUUCCAAGUUCAAGGAUUGUGUCUCUGCCCUUGGCUAGUGGCCUGGAGAACCCAAAUGGUGCGAGUAAGGGGCUGGUCUCCACUGCAUGUAGUUCAGGUAGCCAAUCUCCAAAUCCCAUUCCUUUGCAUUCAUGGAGAAUUAAGCUAUCAUUCCUGGGGUUUGAUGCCACCAGUUGGAGGCCGUCAUCCCUCACUUUGCCUAUGACAUGGCAGAGAGGAGAGCAGUCACCAUUCAACCUAAGAGCCAGGACAGGGACAAAGGCCCUUCCAGAGCUGCCACACAGCCUUCACACAGCCCCCUGGGUGUCUGGUUACUGCCUGCUUUGAAACAAUCCCUGCACUGAUGCCCAGGGCUGGCAGGAGCAGAAUGCUGUGAGAUGCAGUGCCAAGUUUUGGGACCAGACUGGUGGCUGUCCCACACUGCCAGGAAGAAGCUGCGCAACGACAGCUCUGCGGUGACCUACAGGACCAAUCCCUCAGCAGCCUCUAAAUUGGAAACAGCCGCGGGAGAGCAAUUCCUUUGGGAUCGGGGCAAUGGGGCCAAUCAGAGACAAACACAGAAAGGAAGGGCGGAAGAGGGGGUGGCUGUGUUACCUAGGGGAUGCACUCGGCAACAAACACAGCGGUGUGAUGAAACACCGUGUUGCACACACGCAAACAGCACUCCGAGGUAUUUCCUCAAGCGGGACCUGAAUGCUGGGACAGAGUGAAGCAGCCCAGAAUUGCACAAGUGAAGGGUUGAAGUCUAGUCUGUUCUUGUUUUCCUACUUAAGUGCCAUUUUUGAGAUGCUUUAUCCUUUGUGUUGUCUAAUCUCUGCUAUAAACUAUCCUCAGCUACUGCUACUGCCGACACCUCGGCAUGGGGAGGUUCCAUUUCUUGGCUAUAACAUUGCUGCCCCUUAUAUCUCACAGUUUCUGCACAUGAACAUGAGAUCUAGAAAAUGGGUGUAAAAACGUGAGUCAUGAAAGCAAUCGGCUAUCUUUCACUUAUAUCUAAAAAAGACCUGAAAAAAACCCCCACCAAACCCUUUCCUGUUUAUGUCAAACAAUCUUCCUGAGAAAUCCUUUCUGCAUUGUUUUUUGCUGACAUCUGUACUGCCCCAGGUAUGAUUAAUUCUUCUGCUCACAAUAAAAUGCCUCUCUUUGCCUCUGGAGCA
rnacentral:lncRNA from 1 species